UGUUUAUCCACCUCUCACUCAAUAGAGAGUGUAUCUGACCAAUUCACACUGUGCAGAGACAUUGUUCGGUUAGAGCUAGGUGGACGGCCGGUCAGACCGACAGGCAGCAACUUGUUGUUGAUUUAGUUUUGAUCCAUUUUCACGUCAUCCAUGGUAUUGCUGUUGUUUUCGGUUGUUUGUUUUUCCUUCUUCAUCGAAAGAAACGAACCAGCAUGUGGUAAUUUGUAGCAGAUAAGUUUGGGAGUAAAUGGCCUAGUUUUUGCUUUUUCAUUGUUAUAUAACUUUGAUAUGAGUAAACCAUUGAGUUAAAGAAGGAGAGUGUAAAUGAAAAACCAGCAAGUAUGUGUCUUAAGUUUUUCGUUUUGUUUUACUAAAAUAAACACUUUAUUCGAAGAUACGUAUUAACUAAAUGUUUUAGUAAUAUUUAUACUAAAUUGCAAUGCUGAAUUUCUUUUUAUUAGAUUUUGUUUUUAUAUAAAAAUGUAAGUAUUUACAAUUUCUAUUCAAUUUAAGAUUUAUAUAUAAACUGGAGUAAGGAUGGUGUUUGUAUUCAUUCAAACUUCUAGUUAUUAAGAAAUAGCAAACCAUGGUUUGCUUUAAUACGGCAUAUUACAGUUAUAUUUAUUAAUUCGCUAAAAUUUUUAUUUUUGGGCAACUUGGAUAUUUCUUUAAACUAAUAUAAGUUUUUUUUCUUAAUUUUUGUCAAAAUAGUUUCUUUUAAAUAUGGGUUUGGUAAUAUUUUCUAUGUACAUUAUUUCAAUAAUUAAUUUUCUGUGCUUCGCCGAUUUUUACAGAAUUAUAAACAUCUUUUUAGCAGUAUUCAUUAGAAAUUAUUCAGUAACAUAAAUAUAAAAAAUUAUAUAAAUGAAAACCCCAUAUUUAAUAAAUAAUCGUUAGAAUCAGAAAAGUAUCUGCAUUAACAUUAAAGUUAGAACUUUUCUUCUUCAUAAAUACAUCACUGGUCAAAUAUGUAAUGGUAUAUUUGCUUUUUAAAUAAAGUGCAUUUUGACCGUUGAUAGCAUUUAUGAAAUUAAUUAAGAGUUUUAUUUAAACUUAAAAAUUUAAUUUUCUUGGUGGAUUGUAUCUCCACGAUAUUUUUUUUACCUUGGUGCAGGUAUCUAUCUAUAUUUCCAUCAAUUAAUUAUUAUUAUACAUAUUAUCAACGUAUGAGUGAUAUUAAUAAAAUAUACAUAUAUUUAAUAUUAAUCAUACGUAAUAUUACACAUAAAAUUAAAAGUAAUUUCUUUUUUUUUAACAAGGACUGAUUACGCUGUUUCAUAAUUUAAAUCUUUCAAAUAUGUCAAAAAUAAAACUUAUUAUUAUUUAAAACUUCAUAUAUGUAUAUGUAGAAACAUUGGAUGGGUUUAUUUAAACAUGUUAAGUUGUUUGUUGCCGGUGGAAAAAAUAAAGAUAUUAAACCUUGUUAACUUGUUAAUAUAUUCUGAAAUAUAAUUGUUUAUAUUUCUAUUCUAAAUACCUAAAUUUGCACUUAAAUUAAAAAUGUACUUUAAAUAAACUCAUUUAUAUAAAUUUAAAGUUUAUUUUUAUAGAAAUUAAUUCAUACAUUUAUAAGUCAGUUACUAAAAUCUAUAUUUGGCUGCCCGGUUGAUCUCAUAAACCCUAGUGAUCCAGUAUUCUCAGUAUCAGCAUGAGGCAAUGGUUACGCCAUAAAUAAGUAAUAUCGAAAGAAUCUAAAAAUUUGUAAAGUGUUUUCCAUUUGUGUGGAGCCAGAAACUGUCAGCAGAAGCAUUUUAUAACUUAUCAACAAACGAAGUUUUUAUUGGAAACCUUUAAAAAUUCUUGAAUAUCAAAGCUGAAAAUUAUAGUUAAAAUAUAAUUACUAUUAUAAUAUUAAGAUUCAUUUAUAUGUAGUUGUAUAUUUUUUGUCUUUGGUAAAAGGUCAACACUAUGUAAUCGACAGAUUAUAAUAAUGAUGUCAUUAACACAGACCAACAAAUUUUUAACCCAGAGAUCAACGUAUACUUUUCUAAAGAUUGAGUUGUGCUGAAUUUGCAAUUUAAGAUAUCGUGUCAAUCUUUUAAAAAAGUAUAACUUGGUCUCACGUUUUUUUAAUAUUUUAUAAAUUUUUGUCGGCCUGUGUAAUGUUUAGAAUUAUCGAUAAAAAUAUUUGUGAGAUACAAUAGUGCAUGAGGUUGACUUUUCAUUAUCGAUACUACCAAUAUAAAAUACUGUUUCCUCUAAUAAAAAUAUUUUAAGAAACUUAA